rnacentral:rRNA from 1 species
AGUGAACGCUGGCGGUAGGCCUAACACAUGCAAGUCGAACGGCAGCACAGUAAGAGCUUGCUCUUACGGGUGGCGAGUGGCGGACGGGUGAGGAAUACAUCGGAAUCUAUUUUUUCGUGGGGGAUAACGUAGGGAAACUUACGCUAAUACCGCAUACGACCUACGGGUGAAAGCAGGGGAUCUUCGGACCUUGCGCGAUUGAAUGAGCCGAUGUCGGAUUAGCUAGUUGGCGGGGUAAAGGCCCACCAAGGCGACGAUCCGUAGCUGGUCUGAGAGGAUGAUCAGCCACACUGGAACUGAGACACGGUCCAGACUCCUCCGGGAGGCAGCAGUGGGGAAUAUUGGACAAUGGGCGCAAGCCUGAUCCAGCCAUACCGCGUGGGUGAAGAAGGCCUUCGGGUUGUAAAGCCCUUUUGUUGGGAAAGAAAAGCAGCAGGUUAAUACCCCGCUGUUCUGACGGUACCCAAAGAAUAAGCACCGGCUAACUUCGUG